rnacentral:misc_RNA from 1 species
AGCAGCCGCGGUAAUUCCAGCUCCAAUAGCGUAUAUUAAAGUUGUUGCAGUUAAAAAGCUCGUAGUUGAACUUCAGGCCUGUCCAGAUGGUCCGCCUUAAUUGGUGUGUACUGUCCUUGGGUGGGUCCUACCUUCUGGCGAAGCGGCAUGGCCUUAGUUGGUUGUGUCGGGGAACCAGGACUUUUACUGUGAAAAAUUAGAGUGUUCAAAGCAGGCAAAUAUGCUCGAAUACAUUAGCAUGGAAUAAUGGAAUAGGACGAUGGUUCUAUUUUGUUGGUUCUAGGACCGUUGUAAUGAUUAAUAGGGAUAGUUGGGGGCAUUAGUAUUCAAUUGUCAGAGGUGAAAUUCUUGGAUUUAUUGAAGACUAACUACUGCGAAAGCAUUUGCCAAGGAUGUUUUCAUUAAUCAAGAACGAAAGUUAGGGGAUCGAAGACGAUCAGAUACCGUCGUAGUCUUAACCAUAAACUAUGCCGACUAGGAAUCGGGCGAUGUUGACAAAAUGACUCGCUCGGCUA